GCCAGGGUGGUAGAGUGGUCAAAUACAACAGUCUGUAAAACUGUCGCCUUAACGGCUACCCAGGUUCGAAUCCUGGCCCUGGCA
rnacentral:tRNA from 2 species